UGGUGCUUUGAGCUGAGGUCAGUAAUUGCCUACUGGGAACUAUAAAUUAUAGUUCUCACGCCCUCUGUUUUAUGUUUUCAUUCAGAACCUUCCACGCCGGGAGAGGCUAGGGACCGAGGGAAGGGCAUGGCUUCGAGCUAGCUCUUCAGCGAGUGACGAGUCGCUAGGUGGUCUACCUCUCGAUGUUUUAUUUUGGAGAGGUUGAGAGCUGUACCAGUGUACUAGAGACCACCCCUUUUGUGUACUUUUUGGACAGAUAUUGUAUUACCUUAUGUUUUACUUCUAUGGUUUAGUCGUGAUCUUUGUACUCUCUCUUUAUAGAUGAUAGAAUCAUACUUGCUCUGAUAUCCCUAGUUGUAGAUUAUUUCUUGCUUUUACUUCCGCUUUUAUUGUAGACGCCUUAUAUGUGUAGACAUAUGGCGGGUCUGGGCGCGCUACCGGGGGGGCCCUCCGCCGGUCCCGGGGCGUGACAGUUUUUCCAGUUGACAACCCUCACACACAAUAUUCUCUUUGAAGUUUAUCUUAGGUACACCUCUAACUACCUCCUUCUUUGUUAUUCUAGAUAGUUUCUUAA
rnacentral:lncRNA from 1 species